rnacentral:rRNA from 1 species
UACAGAGGUGGCAAGCGUUGUUCGGAAUUACUGGGCGUAAAGGGCGCGUAGGCGGCCCGUCAAGUCCCGUGUGAAAGCCCCCGGCUCAACCGGGGAACGGCGCGGGAAACUAGCAGGCUUGAGUUCGGGAGAGGGAAGCGGAAUUCCGGGUGUAGCGGUGAAAUGCGCAGAUAUCGAGAGGAACACCUGCGGCGAAGGCGGGUUGCUGGGCUGACACUGACGCUGAUGCGCGAAAGCCAGGGGAGCGAACAGG